UUUUUUCAGAGUUUGAUCCUAGCUCAGGAUGAAUGCUGGCGGCGUGGAUAAGGCAUGCAAGUCACGGGGGCUCUACUCGUAAGAGUUUGGGCAACCGGCAGACGAGGUAGUAAUACGCAGGUACGCACCGAAAAGUCGGGCAUAGCUCGUCGAAAGACGGGGUAAUUUCCGAUAGUCCCCUUUAGAUUUAUCUUUGGGGGUAAAGGAGCAAUCCGCUUUUUGAGCGGCCUGUGGAGCAUCAGCUAGUUGGUAGGGUAAUGGCCUACCAAGGCUAUGACGCUUAGGGGAGCUGAGAGGCUGACCCCCACCGAUGGGACUGAGACACGGCCCAUACACCUACGGGUGGCUGCAGUCGAGAAUCUUCCGCAAUGGGCGAAAGCCUGACGGAGCGACGCCGCGUGAUGGAUGAAGCCCUUAGGGGCGUAAACAUCUUUUAUGAGGGAGGAAUCUCGCAAGAGAAUUGACGGUACCUCAUGAAUAAGGACCUGCUAAACUCGUGCCAGCAGCAGCGGUAAUACGAGUGGUCCAAGCAUUAUCCGGAAUUAUUGGGCGUAAAGGGUGUGUAGGUGGUUCUGGUGAUCGUUCCUCAC
rnacentral:rRNA from 1 species